AAAUUGAAGAGUUUGAUCAUGGCUCAGAUUGAACGCUGGCGGCAGGCUUAACACAUGCAAGUCGAACGGUAGCAGGAAGGAAGCUUGCUUUCUUUGCUGACGAGUGGCGGACGGGUGAGUAAUGCUUGGGGAUCUGGCUUAUGGAGGGGGAUAACGACGGGAAACUGUCGCUAAUACCGCGUAAUGUCUAAGGACUAGAGGGUGGGACUUUCGGGCCACCUGCCAUAAGAUGAGCCCAAGUGGGAUUAGGUAGUUGGUGGGGUAAAGGCCUACCAAGCCGACGAUCUCUAGCUGGUCUGAGAGGAUGACCAGCCACACUGGAACUGAGACACGGUCCAGACUCCUACGGGAGGCAGCAGUGGGGAAUAUUGCACAAUGGGGGGAACCCUGAUGCAGCCAUGCCGCGUGAAUGAAGAAGGCCUUCGGGUUGUAAAGUUCUUUCGGUGAUGAGGAAGGGUGAUGUUUUAAUAGAGCAUUACAUUGACGUUAGUCACAGAAGAAGCACCGGCUAACUCCGUGCCAGCAGCCGCGGUAAUACGGAGGGUGCGAGCGUUAAUCGGAAUGACUGGGCGUAAAGGGCACGCAGGCGGUGACUUAAGUGAGAUGUGAAAGCCCCGAGCUUAACUUGGGAAUUGCAUUUCAUACUGGGUGGCUAGAGUAUUUUAGGGAGGGGUAGAAUUCCACGUGUAGCGGUGAAAUGCGUAGAGAUGUGGAGGAAUACCGAAGGCGAAGGCAGCCCCUUGGGAAAAUACUGACGCUCAUGUGCGAAAGCGUGGGGAGCAAACAGGAUUAGAUACCCUGGUAGUCCACGCUGUAAACGCUGUCGAUUUGGGGAUUGGGCUU
rnacentral:rRNA from 1 species